UACAGAGGAGCCAAGCGUUGUCCGGAUUGACUGGGCGUAAAGCGCACGCAGGCGGCCGCGCGCGUGGGGUGUGAAAUCUGGCCGCUUAACGGCCAGGCGCCAUCCCAUACGGCGCGGCUGGAGCCAUGCAGAGGGCGGUGGAAUUGCCGGUGUAGUGGUGAAAUGCGUAGAGAUCGGCAGGAACACCCAGGGGGAAACCAGCCGCCUGGGCAUGCGCUGACGCUGAGGUGCGAAAGCCAGGGGAGCAAACGGG
rnacentral:rRNA from 1 species